rnacentral:rRNA from 1 species
UUGAACGCUGGCGGCAGGCCUAACACAUGCAAGUCGAGCGGCAGCGCGGGGCAACCUGGCGGCGAGCGGCGGACGGGUGAGUAACGCGUAGGAAUCUACCCAGUAGCGGGGGAUAGCCCGGGGAAACUCGGAUUAAUACCGCAUACGCCCCAGGGGGAAAAGCAGGGGAUCUUCGGACCUUGCACUAUUGGCAGAGCCUGCGUUGGAUUAGCUAGUUGGUAGGGUAAAGGCCUACCAAGGCGACGAUCCAUAACUGGUCUGAGAGGAUGAUCAGUCACACCGGAGCGGAGACACGGUCCGGAAUCCUACGGGAGGCAGCAGUGGGGAAUAUUGGACAAUGGGGGCAACCCUGAUCCAGCCAUGCCGCGUGUGUGAAGAAGGCCUUCGUGUUGUAAAGCACUUUUGUCAGGGAGCAAAUCCUUGUGGCUAAUACCCACCGGGGAUGAGAGUACCUGAAGAAUAAGGACCGGCUAACUACUUGCCAGCCGCCGCCGUAAGAC